GAUGGACGCUAGCUACGGGCUUAACACAUGCAAGUCGAGGGGUAACGAGAGGAAAGCUUGCUUUCCUUGUCGACGACCGGCGCACGGGUGAGUAACGCGUAUCCAACCUGCCCCCAACUAGGGAAUAACCUUGCGAAAGUAAGACUAAUACUCUAUAAUUUCCUCAGAUGUCAUCUGACGAGGAAUAAAGAUUUAUCGGUUGUGGAUGGGGAUGCGUCUGAUUAGCUUGUUGGCGGGGUAACGGCCCACCAAGGCAACGAUCAGUAGGGGUUCUGAGAGGAAGGUCCCCCACAUUGGAACUGAGACACGGUCCAAACUCCUACUGGAGGCAGCAGUGAGGAAUAUUGGUCAAUGGGCGGAAGCCUGAACCAGCCAAGUAGCGUGCAGGAUGACGGCCCUAUGGGUUGUAAACUGCUUUUAUACAGGAAUAAAGUUAGCCACGUGUGGUUAUUUGUAGGUACUGUAUGAUUAAGGACCGGCUAAUUCCGUGCCAGCCGCCGCGGUAAAAC
rnacentral:rRNA from 1 species